ACUCAAAGGAAUUGACGGGGGUCCGCACAAGCGGUGGAACAUGUGGUUUAAUUCGACACUACGCGAGGAACCUUACCUAGGCUUGACAUACAUGUGACCGCCAUAGAAAUAUGGUUUUUUGGGCGUAAGCUUGAACAGAUGUACAGGUGCUGCAUGGCUGUCGUCAGCUCGUGUCGUGAGAUGUUGGGUUAAGUCCUUUAACGAGCGCAACUCCUACUGUCAGUUGCAACCCCGUAAGGGGGCACUCUGAUGGGACUGCCUGGGAAACCAGGAGGAAGGUGGGAAUGACGUCAAGUCCUCAUGGCCCUUAUGCCUAGGGCAACACACGUGUUACAAUGGUUGGUACAAAGGGCUGCAAUACCGUAAGGUGGAGCCAAUCCCACAAAGCCAAUCUAAGUUCGGAUUGAGGUCUGCAACUCGACCUCAUGAAGUUGAAAUCGCUAGUAAUCGCGUAUCAGAACGACGCGGUGAAUACGUUCUCGGACCUUGUACACACCGCCCGU
rnacentral:rRNA from 1 species